UUCCUACGGGACGCAGCAGUCGAGAAUCAUUCACAAUGGGGGAAACCCUGAUGCAGCAACGCCGCGUGAGUGAAGAAGUAUUUCGAUAUGUAAAGCUCUAUCAGCAGGGAAGAAGAUGACGGUACCUGAGUAAGAAGCCCCGGCUAACUACGUGCCAGCAGCCGCGGUAAUACGUAGGGGGCAAGCGUUAUCCGGAUUUACUGGGUGUAAAGGGAGCGUAGACGGCAUAGCAAGUCUGAAGUGAAAGCCCAAGGCUCAACCAUGGGACUGCUUUGGGAACUGUUAAGCUAGAGUGCUGGAGAGGG
rnacentral:rRNA from 1 species